GAGUUUGAUCCUGGCUCAGAUUGAACGCUGGCGGCAGGCCUAACACAUGCAAGUCGAGCGGGGUUUUCGGACCUAGCGGCGGACGGGUGAGUAAUGCGUAGGAAGCUGCCCGAUAGAGGGGGAUACCAGUUGGAAACGACUGUUAAUACCGCAUAAUGUCUACGGACCAAAGUGUGGGACCUUCGGGCCACAUGCUAUCGGAUGCGCCUACGUGGGAUUAGCUAGUUGGUGAGGUAAUGGCUCACCAAGGCGACGAUCUCUAGCUGGUUUGAGAGGAUGAUCAGCCACACUGGAACUGAGACACGGUCCAGACUCCUACGGGAGGCAGCAGUGGGGAAUAUUGGACAAUGGGCGCAAGCCUGAUCCAGCCAUGCCGCGUGUGUGAAGAAGGCCUUCGGGUUGUAAAGCACUUUCAGCGAGGAGGAAGGGUGGUGUGUUAAUAGCACAUCAUUUUUGACGUUACUCGC
rnacentral:rRNA from 1 species